AUGGCCGUGCUGUCACACCACGAGGACGGCGCGGUGGUUGCACAGACGCUGCUUCUGCUGCUGACGGUGUCGUCGUCGUUGCUGGGGGCGGUGGUGCCGGCCCUCGCCGCCGACCCACCCUUCUCCUGCGGGCCGUCGUCCACCGCCGCGACGCAGGGGUACGCCUUCUGCGACGCGACGCUCCCGGUGGCGCAGCGGGCGGCGGACCUGGUGGCGCGGCUGACGCCGGCGGAGAAGGUGGCGCAGCUGGGCGACGAGGCCGCGGGCGUCCCGCGGCUGGGCGUGCCGGCCUACAAGUGGUGGAACGAGGCGCUGCACGGGCUGGCCACCUCCGGCAAGGGCCUCCACUUCAACGGCGCCGUCCGCAGCGCCACCAGCUUCCCGCAGGUCAGCUUCACCGCCGCCGCCUUCGACGACGACCUCUGGUACCGCAUCGGCCAGGCGAUCGGCAGGGAGGCUCGGGCGCUGUACAACCUGGGGCAGGCGGAGGGCCUGACGAUGUGGUCCCCGAACGUGAACAUCUACCGGGACCCGCGGUGGGGCCGCGGGCAGGAGACCCCGGGGGAGGACCCGACGACGGCGAGCCGCUACGGCGUGGCGUUCGUCAAGGGCCUGCAGGGGAACUCGUCGGCGUCGCUGCUGCAGACGUCGGCCUGCUGCAAGCACGCCACGGCGUACGACCUGGAGGACUGGAACGGCGUGGCCCGCUACAACUUCGACGCCAGGGUGACGGCGCAGGACCUGGAGGACACGUACAACCCGCCGUUCCGGAGCUGCGUGGUGGACGGCAAGGCCAGCUGCGUCAUGUGCGCCUACACCGGCAUCAACGGCGUCCCCGCCUGCGCCAACUCCGACCUCCUCACCAAGACCGUCAGAGGAGACUGGGGCCUCGACGGGUACGUCGCCUCCGACUGCGACGCCGUGGCCAUCAUGCGUGACGCGCAGCGGUACGCGCCCACGCCCGAGGACGCGGUUGCACUCGCGCUCAAGGCCGGACUGGACAUCGACUGCGGGACCUACAUGCAGCAGCACGCGGCGGCCGCUGUGCAGCAGGGCAAGAUCACGGAGGACGACAUCGACAAGGCGCUCAACAACCUCUUCGCCGUCCGGAUGCGCCUGGGCCACUUCGACGGCGACCCCAGGGCCAACAUCUACGGCGGCCUCAACGCCGCCGACAUCUGCACCCCGGAGCACAGGAGCCUCGCCCUCGACGCCGCGCAGGACGGCAUCGUCCUCCUCAAGAACGACGCUGGCAUCCUCCCGCUCGACCGGGCCGCCGUCGCCUCCGCCGCCGUCAUCGGGCCCAACGCCAACAACCCCGGCCUGCUCAUCGGCAACUACUUCGGCCCGCCCUGCGAGUCCGUCACGCCGCUCAAGGGGGUCCAGGGCUACGUCAAGGACGCCAGGUUCCUCGCAGGGUGCCGCUCGGCGGCCUGCGACGUGGCCGACACGGACGAGGCGGCCUCCCUGGCGGCCUCGUCGGACUACGUGCUCCUCCUCAUGGGACUGAGCCAGCAGCAGGAGAGCGAAGGGCGCGACAGGACCAGCCUCCUGCUCCCCGGGCAGCAGCAGAGCCUCAUCACCGCCGUCGCCGACGCCGCCAAGAGGCCCGUCAUCCUGGUGCUCCUCACGGGCGGGCCGGUGGACGUGACCUUCGCCAAGACCAACCCCAAGAUCGGCGCCAUCCUCUGGGCCGGUUACCCCGGCCAGGCCGGCGGGCUCGCCAUCGCCAGGGUGCUCUUCGGCGACCACAACCCCGGCGGGAGGCUGCCGGUGACCUGGUACCCGGAAGAGUUCACCAAGGUGCCCAUGACCGACAUGCGGAUGCGCGCCGACCCGGCCACCGGCUACCCCGGCCGGAGCUACCGCUUCUACCAGGGAGAGACUGUCUACAAGUUUGGCUACGGCCUCAGCUACUCCAGCUACUCUCGCCGGCUGGUCUCAUCCGGCACCCCCAACACGGACUUGCUCGCAGGCCUGAGCACAAUGCCAUUGCCAGCGGCGGAACAAGGCGUCGCGAGCUACCACGUCGAACAUAUUGGUCCCCAACGGUGCGAGCAGCUCAGGUUCCCAGCCGUGGUCGAGGUGGAAAACCACGGCCCCAUGGACGGCAAGCACUCGGUGCUCGUGUACCUCCGGUGGGCCAACGCAACCGCCGGCCGGCCGGCGAAGCAGCUCAUCGGGUUCAGGAGACAGCACCUCAAGGCAGGGGAGAAGGCCAGACUCACAUUUGAUAUCAGCCCGUGUGAACAUUUUAGCAGGGUGAGGAAGGAUGGCAGCAAGGUGGUAGACAGAGGAUCUCAUUUCCUCAUGGUUGACAAGCAUGAGAUGGAGAUUACGUUCGAGGUUUGA
rnacentral:rRNA from 1 species